rnacentral:rRNA from 1 species
UACCGUCAGAUCUUCUUCCUUGAGAAAAGAGGUUUACAGCCCAGAGGCCUUCAUCCCUCACGCGGCGUUGCUCCGUCAGGCUUUCGCCCAUUGCGGAAAAUUCCCCACUGCUGCCUC